rnacentral:rRNA from 1 species
ACGAACGCUGGCGGCGUGCCUAAUACAUGCAAGUAGAACGCACAGUUUAUACCGUAGCUUGCUACACCAUAGACUGUGAGUUGCGAACGGGUGAGUAACGCGUAGGUAACCUGCCUGGUAGCGGGGGAUAACUAUUGGAAACGAUAGCUAAUACCGCAUAAUAUUGAUUAUUGCAUGAUAAUUGAUUGAAAGAUGCUAUUGCAUCACUACCAGAUGGACCUGCGUUGUAUUAGCUAGUAGGUGAGGUAACGGCUCACCUAGGCGACGAUACAUAGCCGACCUGAGAGGGUGAUCGGCCACACUGGGACUUAGACACGGCCCAGACUCCUACGGGAGGCAGCAGUAGGGAAUCUUCGGCAAUGGACGAAAGUCUGACCGAGCAACGCCGCGUGAGUGAAGAAGGUUUUCGGAUCGUAAAGCUCUGUUGUAAGAGAAGAACGGGUGUGAGAGUGGAAAGUGCACACUGGGACGGGAUCUGACCAGAAAGGGACGGCUAACUACGU